AUCUGAGUGUCCCCAUAGAGGGGAGGUAAGGGGUGACUUCCUGGCAGAUUGGAUCGACUCUGCAGAGGUCCCAAGCCUCCCAAUAUGUUCAGUAGCAGAGGCUGACAGGUGGUUGCAAAGGCCCUCAUGUCAUGAGGUCAUUGAGGCCUGGUAUGAAUGACGUGUGCUUGACAUGAAUACAUGCACUGCAAGUUGGCAACCAAAGCAAGAACUUAAGGUCAAGAACUAUUAGAACUAUUUGUGCAAAAACCAUCUUGUUAUGUUCAGAGAAAAAUACAGAGAAUCAGCAGAAAAGGAAACACCCCCAGCUGGACUGAUAUAAAACUGUAUAAGAAUUGGAGGAAAUGGCAUGCUUGGAUCAUGGCAGCCCGCCCAGGAUUGUCUCUUUGGAAUUGUGUGGGUAGAAGGCCUAGUAAACAAAGGCGAAGAACUGAUGACGUGACAGAAUGGACUAUAAAUGGUUGCCUAUGAUUUCUGCAAAUCGGAGUUGUUUAUUUAUCCAGAGACCUGUUUGGAUAUAGAUGAGGUUUUCGCCGGCUCCCCGCAUCUUAUGACUGGAAGGAAUCUCGACUGGACAUUGGGACCAUUCUGACCUUUGGACUCUGGUAUAAUAUGUUUGCGGUGUAAAGGUGGAGUAAGGUUUGUUUUGUAAUCAAUAAAGAGCAUUUAGAAUAUUAUAUACCUA